rnacentral:lncRNA from 1 species
UCUGCGGCCUGUGGCUGCAGAGGGACGCAAGAGCCUAAACUGAAAUCCCACAUCCCCGUGGAGGAUCUUGGAAAGACGCAAAGCGCAGCAAAUAGGAGCCACUCUUUCAGAGAUGACAGACCACCUGGUUUCAAGGAGCAGCAGACAGCGUGAAUGAAUGAAGUUGGCCAGCUAAAUACAGAUGAUUGCCCUGUGACUGAGCUUAGGGAUUUCCAAACUCUUGCUAUUUAACAACUGUCAAAGACUGAGAAACAGGGCUUACAUUUUAUUCAAGCUACCCAGAGUAGGGCCUCUCUCUAAUCUAUACUUCCUUUUCGGGGAAGAGAUAUUUGGCUUCAGGCAGCAGUAGCGCCUGCUCCCUAGGGAAGUGGUUAGAGGUACCCACUUCCCCAUAUCAGCAGAAACAAAACAGGCAGGAGUCUCUCUGCUUGAGGAUCUGCCUAAAUAGGGAAGUGAGAAUUGGCAACGAUUUCUCCCUCCACCAAUGGGAAUCCUAGAUGAAGGGAACCAUUUCUGUUUCCUAAAUCCAUAACUCCAGGCAGCUUCAGACACUUGAUUCCACAGCCAU